rnacentral:pre_miRNA from 14 species
UAUAACUUCAGAAGGCCUCGCCGAAUAUGACACUGUUGCGUAGCAUGACCAAUGAGACUCUACAAAAGAGUGAAUGGAUCUGACUACGCUCAGUGGAAUACCCGGCGAGUGCCUUCUUCUUAA